ensembl:misc_RNA 7SK 7SK RNA
AAGUGCAGGGAGUCCUGGCUGCAACAUCUGUCACCCCAUCUAUCUCCAGGGUUGAUUUGGCUGAUCUGGCUGGGUGGGCAGGUGUCCCCUCCCUCCCAUGCCACUCCAUGUGCAUCCCUCCUGGAGCUGUGCGCUGGGUCAAAGAGGAUGGCCUUCCCCCCAUAGAGGAGGACCGUUCUUCUGUCAAGGGUAUAUGAGUAGCCGUGCUCCAUGCUGGAACCUCCAAACAAACUCUCAAGCUGUGAGUUUUGUUUGACACCUCGCAGGAUGGCUUGGAGGAUUUAAUGAAAUACAGAAUAUGAAAACUGUACUUU